UAAUAACAUUCCCAAUGAUCCACUUCCUCGUGUGUCUCGCCUCUUUUAUGUUAAGUGGUGGGAUAAAUUUGACAUUAAAAGAAUAGUUACUCAGGUUCAGCAGGAAUUUCCUGUUGCUCCGAUCCCAGCUCUCCCAGUCAGUGCCUGUUCCCCGGCCAUUAAAGAAAAAGAGUCAGAGUCAACCUCAAAGUCAAUAUCCAAAGUCAGUCCUUCGGGUUCAACAUGUUCCCGUAGUAUUUCAGAUUUUAAAGAUUGCACCAGUAAAGAGUUACUAAAGAUUGCCUAGGUACUCAAUAAAAGAAUUAAUGAAGCUUUGCAUGAAGAGGCUUCUAAUCAUUCUUCCCAGGGUGAUCCAAUCAGCCAGUUCGCCAAUGAUGAUGGCGAUUAUGAUCCUUACGGCGCAGUUAACCUACAGGAUGCUCAGGAUCCAUUCUCCCGAGUUCAAAAGUAAUAUCCAGUUCUUGACAGUUCCUAUUCUGGUCAGCCAAUUCCUGCUCAGGCAGCCGCUUAGUCAAAGGAAUCUGCUUUUCCACCGAAAGCAGCUGCAGUCACUUAUGCGCGUCCCAGUCAUUCAAAGCUGUCGGCCAGUUUUCCAAAAGCAGCCGAAAGUUUUUGCAUUUAGUCAAAAGUAGUUAUUGUUUACUUUUACUUUUACUUUUUCUUUUACUUUUACUUAAGUAACAUGUUUCCACUUAAGUAAAAUGUUUUUACUUUACCCCAGCCAUUGUAACAGUUCUCUUUCCUUGCAUUUUAAAAGGAAACUGAGAUCAGUUGGUUACCAUAGAUUUCGAAACUUAGAAAGACUCUGAGCUCUCUCUCUCAGAAGAAUCUUUAGUUUCUACCUCUUUGUAACCUACUUAACCCCUCUUCUCCACUUCUCCAGUUAAAUGUUCUAAGUUGUAAGUUGUAAGUUAAUAAUUUUAGAUGUCAGUUUGUACAUAGUUUCAUUAAAUCAAUAAAAUUGUUUUUAUUUAGUAAUUAUUGUGUUAUUUAUGCACUUCUUAUUUCUCUAUUUUCUGCAUCGGCGCAUCGGCACUUCAGGUGAAAUCACUCACAUGAUCUGAGGGAUCACAGCCAAUUGCUUUAAUUUAUAGGAUUUUGAGCGGACCCAUUCAUACAACCGUGUGGACUUUUUAUUUAUAUGACAUCCAUUUUGAGCGGAAGAAGAUAAACA
rnacentral:lncRNA from 1 species